ensembl:lncRNA
CAUUUCUUCAGGAACACGUACUGUGAUGCACUCGUGGCUCUCUGGCUUGUGGCCGAUGCAGAGGCUGCGCUGCUGCUGGAGGUGGAGGUAGAUGCUCCAGCAGCAGCUUUCAUCCUCUGCAUGUCUCUGCUGCGCACAUACUGGACGGCGUUCUCCAUCUGCGUCUCUGGAGCUGGUGAUGUCCUCCGGAGAUUCGUAGAGGCUCUCCAGGGUCUCGAAUUUGAAGUCCCCGAAGCCAACGAGGGCCCGUCCCUCCUGACCGGGCUGGAGGGAAUUUGCCUGCGCCUCCUCAAAUGCCCUGUGGAACCUGACAGCCUCCACAAAGUCAGGAUAGGCGGAGGAGUAGCGGGUGAAGGCGUCCUUAUUGUGAAGGACCUUGUUGGCCAUCAGCGGGGACUGAGACUGCGUCCUCUCGCGCUCCUUCUGGUGGGAGGCGACCAGAUUGACGCUGUAGCCCACGUCGUUCUCCAGGAGCCAGAGGAAGGUUCUGCCCUGGUAGCGGCCAAACUGCACCUUCCACCGGCUCAGAACCAGGGCGGCGUUGGCGGUGUCACCGCCCUUGGAGACGACAUGAACCCAGGCCUCCGAGUCCACCUCCUCCGGCCUCUUUGCCCUGUAAGGCGCCUGGGCACUGGGGGGCUGCCGCGUGAAGAGGGCCUGGGCCUCUGGGGAGGCCGUGGGCAGGAUGGUCCCGUUAGGGGCCCUUCUGCAUGUAGGAUGCUCCAUCUAAACAAAUGGACAUUUUAGCAGCACACGGGAGAAAGAAGAAGACAUGACACGUGACACUCCCAUCUAUG